rnacentral:misc_RNA from 1 species
AAGACUAUAGACCUGCGGAGUACCUGCGGAAGGAUCAUUAUAGAGUGGUAAACCCCCCGUAAAAGGGGGGGACCUCCUGUCCUUUGUAGGCUCUUUUUUAAAAGGGCUUUUUUUAAUUUUCUGCUUCGGUGGGGUUAUCCCACCGGAACAACCUCAAAACUCUUAUCAAAAAAUCGUUCUGUCUGAGAACCUUUUAUAAUAAAAAAAAACUUUCAACAAUGGAUCUCUAGAUCGGAAGAG